CCUUCUACGCGGCUCCUGAAACAGUUUAGAUGUUUACUUGCUUACACUGGUUUUUGGUUUCAGUUUCCUACCGCUGAAUAACUGCAGGAGUAAAGUUAGUGGUAAAAUAGGAGGCUGUCUAGGGACGUGAUUUCGGGGAAGAAGUCAGGCCUCGACGAGCCACCUUAAGAAAAGUGACUAGGCGGAGCACUCCCAGCUAAGAGCGGAAAGAUGAGAGAUAGAGGUGUGACUGAAGGCAGGGAUCCCCAGGCGCACGUGAGACCUCCGUAGAGGGGCGGGGCUUAGGGCUUUGCAGACCGGAGGCUUGUUCCGCGGAGGGUGGGGCGGUCUCUGCUUGCGCAUGCGCAAUGCCAGCCAGUGCCUGCGCGGCUUGCUCCAGCAAGGUAAAAUUUCCCACUGCGAGGCAGGCAGUGAUGCUGCGGCCGCUUCGCACUGUGGCUCCUGCCGACCGCCAGGCGCUGUUACAGUGGAUGCGAACUAACCAGUAAUUUAUCCCUACUUACAGAGAGAUUGCCCUACGUGUAACAGCUGCAUACAAAAAAGUUAUAAAAUUAUCAUUGGUUUAACAAGGAUAAGUGAAAAACAUUAAAAUUCUCCAACUGAACAAGGUGUGUCUGUUUCAUUGAUUGGCUGACUGUCAAAUCGGAAUCUGAUCUGCCCCAUUGACAAUGCCUUGGGCUUUUCCUCGGCCAUGGCAAAUGCCAGAGUCUUCUCAGCUGCCGCUUCACAAAAGAGGUACCAGCUUCUCACUGAACGAACACAGUGCAGCACCAGGAGUGACAGAAGAAGGAGGCGGCAGCGGUGGUUGAGGGACAGGGUGCGUGCACGUCCAAGUACAGUUCUUAAAAUGUUGAGGGCAUACAACAUAUGCUCAAUAAAUACCUGAUUUUUAAAAAAGA
ensembl:lncRNA novel transcript